ACUCAAUAGAUACCCAGGUAGUCCACGCCCUAAACGAUGUCUACUAGUUGUCGGGUCUUAAUUGACUUGGUAAACGCAGCUAAACGCGUGAAGUAGACCGCCUGGGGAGUACGGUCGCAAGAUUAAAACUCAAAGGAAUUGACGGGGACCCGCACAAGCGGUGGAUGAUGUGGAUUAAAUUCGAUGCAACGCGAAAAACCUUACCUACCCUUGACAUGGAUGGAAUCCCUGAGAGAUUGGGGAGUGCCCGAAAGGGAACCAUUACACGGGUGCUGCAUGGCUGUCGUCAGCUCGUGUCGUGAGAUGUUGGGUUAAGUCCCGCAACGAGCGCAACCCUUGUCAUUAGUUGCUACGAAAGGGCACUCUAAUGAGACUGCCGGUGACAAACCGGAGGAAGGUGGGGAUGACGUCAAGUCCUCAUGGCCCUUAUGGGUAGGGCUUCACACGUCAUACAAUGGUACAUACAGAGGGCCGCCAACCCGCGAGGGGGAGCUAAUCCCAGAAAGUGUAUCGUAGUCCGGAUUGUAGUCUGCAACUCG
rnacentral:rRNA from 1 species